GCGACAGUGGCUCAGUUGGUAGAGUACAACCUUGCCAAGGUUGGGGUCGCGGGUUCGAACCCCGUCUGUCGCU
rfam:Clostridiales bacterium 41_21_two_genomes Ley3_66761_scaffold_10799, whole genome shotgun sequence.